GGGGUAGGUGGGCGCUGGUGCGCUCCGCGGUCUUCAAAACCGUUGCAGACGGCGAACAGCCGCCUGGGUGGGUUCGAUUCCCGCAUACC
rnacentral:tRNA from 1 species